AGGCCUAUUAGCUCAGUUGGUUA
rnacentral:siRNA from 1 species